CUACCAUGCAGUCGACGAUGAAGCCCAGCUUGCUGGGUGGAUUAGUGGCGAACGGGUGAGUAACACGUGAGUAACCUGCCCUUAACUCUGGGAUAAGCCUGGGAAACUGGGUCUAAUACCGGAUAGGAGCGUCCACCGCAUGGUGGGUGUUGGAAAGAUUUAUCGGUUUUGGAUGGACUCGCGGCCUAUCAGCUUGUUGGUGAGGUAAUGGCUCACCAAGGCGACGACGGGUAGCCGGCCUGAGAGGGUGACCGGCCACACUGGGACUGAGACACGGCCCAGACUCCUACGGGAGGCAGCAGUGGGGAAUAUUGCACAAUGGGCGCAAGCCUGAUGCAGCGACGCCGCGUGAGGGAUGACGGCCUUCGGGUUGUAAACCUCUUUCAGUAGGGAAGAAGCGAAAGUGACGGUACCUGCAGAAGAAGCACCGGCUAACUACGUGCCAGCAGCCGCGGUAAUACGUAGGGUGCGAGCGUUAUCCGGAAUUAUUGGGCGUAAAGAGCUCGUAGGCGGUUUGUCGCGUCUGUCGUGAAAGUCCGGGGCUUAACCCCGGAUCUGCGGUGGGUACGGGCAGACUAGAGUGCAGUAGGGGAGACUGGAAUUCCUGGUGUAGCGGUGGAAUGCGCAGAUAUCAGGAGGAACACCGAUGGCGAAGGCAGGUCUCUGGGCUGUAACUGACGCUGAGGAGCGAAAGCAUGGGGAGCGAACAGGAUUAGAUACCCUGGUAGUCCAUGCCGUAAACGUUGGGCACUAGGUGUGGGGACCAUUCCACGGUUUCCGCGCCGCAGCUAACGCAUUAAGUGCCCCGCCUGGGGAGUACGGCCGCAAGGCUAAAACUCAAAGGAAUUGACGGGGGCCCGCACAAGCGGCGGAGCAUGCGGAUUAAUUCGAUGCAACGCGAAGAACCUUACCAAGGCUUGACAUGUUCUCGAUCGCCGUAGAGAUACGGUUUCCCCUUUGGGGCGGGUUCACAGGUGGUGCAUGGUUGUCGUCAGCUCGUGUCGUGAGAUGUUGGGUUAAGUCCCGCAACGAGCGCAACCCUCGUUCCAUGUUGCCAGCACGUCGUGGUGGGGACUCAUGGGAGACUGCCGGGGUCAACUCGGAGGAAGGUGAGGACGACGUCAAUCAUCAUGCCCCUUAUGUCUUGGGCUUCCGCAUGCUACAUGGCCGGUACAUGGGUU
rnacentral:rRNA from 1 species